rnacentral:SRP_RNA from 1 species
GCCAGGUGCGGUGUGUGUGCCUAUAGUCCCAGCUACUCGGGAGGCUGAGGUGGGAGGAUCGCUUGAGCCCGGGAAUUCUGGGCUGUAGUGCGCUAUGCCAAUCGGAUGUCCACACUAAGUUCGGCAUCAAUAUGGUGACCUCCUGGGAGCAGGGGACCACCAGGUUGCCUAAGGAUGGGUGAACAGGCCCAGGUCGGAAACGGAGCAGGUCAAAAUUCCCGUGCUGAUCAGUAGUGGGAUUGCACCUGUGAAUAGCCACUGCACUCCAGCCUGGGCAACAUAGCAAGACCCUGUCUCA